rnacentral:rRNA from 1 species
UACGUAGGGGGCAAGCGUUGUCCGGAAUCAUUGGGCGUAAAGCGCGUGUAGGCGGCUCGAUAAGUCUGCUGUGAAAGUCCAGGGCUCAACCCUGGGAUGCCGGUGGAUACUGUCGAGCUCGAGUCCGGAAGAGGCGAGUGGAAUCCUGGUGUAGCGGUGAAAUGCGCAGAUAUCAGGAGGAACACCAAUGGCGAAGGCAGCUCGCUGGGACGUGACUGACGCUGAGAGCGCGAAAGCGUGGGGAGCAAACAGG